UAUUUUUCGUUUUGAUUUCGAGUUUUUUUUUUUUUUGCAUUUCUUUUUUUCUUCUUCUUUUUUUCUGUUU
rnacentral:ribozyme from 1 species